rnacentral:tRNA from 1 species
GGCUUUAUAUUCAACAGUGAUUAUAGAAUGCAAUUCUAUAGGGGUAAUAAUUAUUACUAAGGCUU